ACUUCCUUUAAUUGGUUGACUGGCACGUGUCAUAAUUACUUCCUGAAUUUGGCGUCGGCAUGUCGAUUUUAAAUGCCGAGGGAUUCCUUCUUGUUGCCGGUAUUUCAAAUUAUGUUACAUUUCAAUAAAAAGUGAGUUUCGUGUACACUAUUCCUUCGUAAAUUCUUGUUUGUGCAUCGCUCAGCCUCUCCAAAAAGAGCAAAUUAAUACUACACAUCAGCACACUGUCGCCCAGCGGCCGAACCGGCAGAGAUAUUAUUGAUUAACUCGAUAACAGUUAAUGAAAUUUACUUAAGUAAAUUUUGCCGAUGCUGUCCCGACUAAUUGGAUUAAAAAGUGACGCUCCAGAGCGCGACGCUGCCUUCUUCCGUGGGAGAAACCUGGAUCGUCUCCUGAAGUUGAUGUUCUGCCAUACGAUGACCUAUUUAGCAUGCCUCUUGUUUACGAGCUAGCAGGUGUUCUAAUGGUAGAGGCACGGUAGAGGCUUCAGCCGGAUACGACCUGACCAAAAGCUACGAAACUUUUUCGUGCACGUAUUGCGUGGCACCUCGAGGGCGUAGGGGACAAGAUACAGACACAUUUGAAGAUGAGGUGAGGCCUGUAGGAGGUCCCGAUGAAGGUCGCUCGAUAGAAAAGGGGAUGAUCUCAGACGAGACUGUUUAAUUGGGAUCCAGAGUGAAUGGUGAGGCAUAAUCAUCGAAAAGGAUCAAAUCUGCAGAAGAGGGCAACCACAUCCCGGACGCGACUUGAAGAAUAUUUUUUUAGAGAUUCUGGAUAGAGAGAGGCUAUAUAAUAACAUACCCCAGCUCAACCUAAAACUAACCAAAGCUAAUUGGAGUUUGUGGCGCGUUUAAAUCAAAAAAGAUUCGAAAUGAAAUAUUGCAAGACGCAAGUGAUUGGUUGCGAGUUUAAGUACUAACUCUAGAGGAUCGUCCGAUGUCCAGGGAGUUGGCGCCAUGCCCAAGUGACGGCCUUUUUGUCGUUUAAUUAUAAUGGGACUGAAGAUAUACCGGUGAAAGGAUAUGGACAUGGUGAUAAAGCAGCCCUUAAAGAAAUGAAAAUUACGAUUCGCGUCCCGCCGUGGUUCCAAAGCGGUAUUUAGGUACUUUCACAGCAUUGUAAGACCAUAUAUUUUUAUUCUGUUUUUUAAUACUCAUAAUUCUUCAUAUUUUAUUGAAUGAUUCAGAAUCAAUUUACAAAAAAAAUCAAUUUACAAGCCUUUGCAUUAUCAUUAUUUUAAUACUAAAGAUAAUAUGAAAACUUAAUAAUUAAAACUAACUAUAUGUAUCUGACGAAAUUAUAUAGUAACUGAGUUAAAAUGCUUUACAAAAUUAUUUCAUUGAUCUAAAAUUUAUUUUACAUACUUUUUUAUUUUCCUAAAUGUUUAUUAUCAUUUUCUAUUUUAACUUUUUCAAUAAAUUAUCUUGAAUGUUAUAAAAAGUAGUUAAAGUAAUUUUUUGGGCAAUUUAUAGUAAUAUAGAUAUUUUAUGACUAAAAAAUAUUGGUCUCUACCGUGUUCCAUGUGAUGUACCCUAAUCAUAGAUUUUUUUGCUAAUUUAUAUGGUAUUAAUUACUAUUAAAUAUAUUUAACCCUACUAAAUUAACUAAAUUUUUUAACUAUUUUAUUUUUUUAACUAAAUUUUAUUUUGUUAAAUUUAUAAAUUUAAUUAAUGUUGCUACUGUCCUAUGAAUAACAACUAAAUUUAACGGUUUUUUUUGCCACAAGAAACAAUAUUAAUUUUUGAACAUAACUCUUUGAUUGGUACCGCUUUGGAACAAAGAUUGUUGGGGAUAGCAGCUGGACUAGGGCCAUCCUCAUCAAGUAAGUAGAUAUAGGGCGUUUCUAGUUGUUGUCUUCUUUUAGUUAUUGUAAAGACGCUUAUAAUUUUGAAAAAAUAUAUAUACUGGUAAAUAAAACGAUGGAGCAGGAAAAUGGUAGGAAUAGAACAGGACUUGGAAAAUGGGAAGAAUAGAAGAAGGAAUAGAAAUUUGAGAUUGUGGAGGGGAGUUGAAUGAAAAUGUAUUUAAAACAGUGGAGGGAGAUUUAUAAGUUGAAUUGCUGGUGAAUAUUGACAAGUUUUGGCAUUUUACGAGGGGCCAGAAGGUUUAGCAUUUCACGAGGGGCCAAUGCAGGGCUCAUUAGGAGAAAGCACUUAUCUUCAGCUGAAUAUUCUUUCUAUAAAUGGAAUAUAUUGUGUUCUAAACACUCUUGGAUGGCCCUCUGCUUUAGAUUAUGCUGUCUUACGUCUUAGUAAAAUAUACUAGAUUGUCCAACCUAUGAAGUAAUCCAGAAACUGGAAUUUGCUGGUAAGAAAUAAGUAUUUAUUUUGCUGCUUUUGGCUGUUGCUUCCCUCCUGCUUCUCCUCAUCUUCAAAAGGAUUCAGCAAAAAUUCCUCCUGCUCCUCCACCAUAUACCAAAAGGUUGCUUCUGUAUUGUUUGUAUAGGCGUCUAUUUUUAUUCUGGUACUGUUGUAAAACUUUGAUAAUCUGGACAAACUUUAAAUUUUAAAAAUGUCAUUGUACUGCAGUAAAAGUUAUAUAGUAGCUGAUAAUUUCUCCAUCAUUUCUAAAAUCAUGUUUUGAAUUUCAUUUAAAAUAUUGGUAAUGUAAACAAUCAGUUUAAUUACUGUUGUUAAUAAUUAUUUGCCAAUCAUAUUUUUAGUUAUAUAUCACUUACAUAUUUUGACACAAGUAACAAUUCUAAUAUACUUUGACUACACUGUCAUAAUUAUUUAUAUAUCUGUAUUUUAUUUACUAACUUUUGUAGUGUAUUAUAUGGGGACACGACUUAAUUUUUUUAAAUUUCUUAUUGGUUCUAAUUAACAGCCCGUAGAAUUUCCAGAUUAUCACAGUUCUUUUUAUUUUACUUGCGCAAAAGCGUCACCAUAUUGUGGUAAUAUGAAAACAUUAUUUUUUUAAAGGCAUUAAAACUUUGUUUUUAAUGUUCUUGCAGUUUACAUACAGUUCGUUGCUUUCAACUGUUUAUAUGGUAAAUCUGAGUGUAUCAUUUUUCUAAUAUUAAUUUAUGUAAAUUUUUCAUACGUAGAAAGUAACAUAUAUAAUAUACAAAUAAACUGUAUUGUCGCAUAACAAUUUAUUAUCGUUAUUAGGUUUUAAAAUUGUUUCAUAAAUUGGUUAGACAUAUUGCAUACAAGCAGAUUUUUUAGUGAAUUUCUUUGUCUUCCUUGCGACUUAAUUAAUAACCCUUUCCUUGGGAAAAAAAUUAAUAAUUACAUUUCAAAAAAGGCUAAUUUUAUUUUGUAAUGAAGAGUGUUUUUUCAUUAAAAACAUUAUUCUCAUUUUUAUUACAGCAACUAAAUUAACUAACUAAAUUCUUAUCUAAUACAUUUACUCAGAUUUGUUUAGUCAGUUUCAAAGUAAUGUUCUGUUUAGUAAAUUAUAUUUGUGGGAUUUGCAUUCAUAGAGCUACUUUUAAAAAUUAAAGUAAGCCUCUAGAGGUUUUUAAUUGUUAAUCAUAAGCAGGUUCGUUGUAAACUUUCAUAACAUGUAAUUAAUUAAUUAAGGUAAAUUAAAUUUUUAAGUAUAUAUUUCUAGUAAUAAAUUU